rnacentral:lncRNA from 9 species
CAGCAACUCCCAGGGGUUCCUCCUCUCUCUGGCUCAGCAGCCCCUGGGGCUGCCUGAGCCCUGGGCAAAAUGUCAGGUGGAUUCUCUCCCUCCCCUUGAUUGAAAUCCCAAGAAGAACCUGUCCAAGGGGGCUCUUUCUUGCUCAAAGGCUUUCAGAGCCCUCAGGCCCACCUAACCCAAACCACUCUGUUCAAACCAUCUGCUCUGGACCCAUCCUGUCAGGACAGGUUCUUCCUUUUUAGAUAUGCCUGCACUAUGUAUUUAUGAAGACAGGUGUGUACAUAUGAAACUAUUGAUUUUUUUCUUAAUUUUCAAACUGUUAUCCCAUCAUUCAUAUAAUAAAACCUUGAUUCUUUUCUUUCUAUUUCUCUCUCUUUCUCCUUCCCUCGUUCUCUCUUGCUUUAUGGACCCCACCUGAGGCGAGCGUCGGUCGCCCGCCCUCGAGGGUCGGCCAGCCACAGAGGGUGCCAAGCUGGCCCCAGCGACCCAGACAGACCUUUUCCCCAGGGAGCCUGGAGGGACCUCCGGGAGGUCUUUCCUGCUCUCGUGCUACCGGCCUGCGAUCGCCCGAGCUGAGCUGGCUCGAGAGCAGCCCUUCAUACCAGGUGUUUGGCCAGAACCAAAGCGGCUCACAGGGAAAGCCAAAGGCGGAGGUUCAGGGACCUCCUGGGAGAAGGCACACCGGGAGGGGCGCGGCGGCUCACCCCGCUGUCACCUCUGUCCCGCCUUCCCUGCACGACGCGCAGUCACCCGACCCGGGCCCCAAAGCCCAGGUCGGGAUGGGGCUUCCCUAUUCCCAGCUCAACCACGGAAACAACCCAGCCCCCAGGAAAUAAGUGAGUAAAGAAGCACAGAAACACACCCGACACCCCGGUCGAAAAAUGGACCCGGGGCCUGAGGAGGCAUUUCCCUCCACCUGAUAUCCAGGGGGCACCAGGCACCAGAAGAAAUAAUCACCAUGACUCAUUUGGAGAAAAAUGCAAAUCACAGUGACCCUUUGGU